AGAGUUUGAUCAUGGCUCAGGAUGAACGCUAGCGGCAGGCUUAACACAUGCAAGUCGAGGGGUAUAGGUUUUCGGACCUAGAGACCGGCGCACGGGUGCGUAACGCGUAUGCAAUCUACCUUUUACAGAGGGAUAGCCCAGAGAAAUUUGGAUUAAUACCUCAUAGUAUGUGAGAAUGGCAUCAUUUUCACAUUAAAGUCACAACGGUAAAAGAUGAGCAUGCGUCCCAUUAGCUAGUUGGUAAGGUAACGGCUUACCAAGGCAACGAUGGGUAGGGGUCCUGAGAGGGAGAUCCCCCACACUGGUACUGAGACACGGACCAGACUCCUACGGGAGGCAGCAGUGAGGAAUAUUGGACAAUGGGCGCAAGCCUGAUCCAGCCAUGCCGCGUGCAGGAUGACGGUCCUAUGGAUUGUAAACUGCUUUUGUACGAGAAGAAACACUCCUACGUGUAGGAGCUUGACGGUAUCGUAAGAAUAAGGAUCGGCUAACUCCGUGCCAGCAGCCGCGGUAAUACGGAGGAUCCAAGCGUUAUCCGGAAUCAUUGGGUUUAAAGGGUCCGUAGGCGGUUUAGUAAGUCAGUGGUGAAAGCCCAUCGCUCAACGGUGGAACGGCCAUUGAUACUGCUAGACUUGAAUUAUUAGGAAGUAACUAGAAUAUGUAGUGUAGCGGUGAAAUGCUUAGAGAUUACAU
rnacentral:rRNA from 1 species